UUUGGUAAUGCCUUUAGGCUCACAAUUCAUGGAAGGAAGUGAAAAGCAGCAGAAUUUGGCUGAACUGAAGCUGUGAUGAAAGCACGAAAAAUAGCAUUGACUGAACCCAGGGUGUACUAGAGAGCUAAAAAUGGCCCAAGAGUUAUUCCUCAUUGAAAUUAAAUGGACAGGCAUUUAUACUUCUACCUUUAUCAUUCAAGGUAUGUGGGCUAUCCCUGGAAGAGGAUGAUCUUGAACCAGGUGACUUUGCAGCUGAGGUGAUCUCUGAAGGGGAUGAGAUAAAGAAUGUCUAUGAAGAGCUCUUCCAGCAGCUGGACAACAAGUGUGCUUUUGAAAGUAUGGAGACCCUGCCAUUUACGACAACGUGGAUGUAUCUGCAGGACAUUAAGACAAGUGCAAUAAGCAAGACACGGAAAGAAAAUAUAGCAUGGUCUCUCUUAUAUGUGGAAUUUUAAAAAUUAACUCUGAAUACUUUGGAUUAAACUG
rnacentral:lncRNA from 10 species